rnacentral:rRNA from 1 species
AUUGAACGCUGGCGGCAGGCCUAACACAUGCAAGUCGAACGGUAACAGGAAGAAGCUUGCUUCUUUGCUGACGAGUGGCGGACGGGUGAGUAAUGUCUGGGAAACUGCCUGAUGGAGGGGGAUAACUACUGGAAACGGUAGCUAAUACCGCAUAACGUCGCAAGCCCAAAGAGGGGGACAUUCGGGCCUCUUGCCAUCGGAUGUGCCCAGAUGGGAUUCGCUAGUAGGUGGGGUAACGGCUCACCUAGGCGACGAUCCCUAGCUGGUCUGAGAGGAUGACCAGCCACACUGGAACUGAGACAGGGUCCAGACUCCUACGGUAGGCAGCAGUGGGGAAUAUUGCACAAUGGGCGCAAGCCUGAUGCAGCCAUGCCGCGUGUAUGAAGAAGGCCUUCGGGUUGUAAAGUACUUUCAGCGGGGAGGAAGGGAGUAAAGUUAAUACCUUGGCUCAUUGACGUUACCCGCAGAAGAAGCACCGGCUAACUCCGUG